UACGGGGGGGGCAAGCGUUGUUCGGAAUUACUGGGCGUAAAGGGCUGGUAGGCGGCCAACUAAGUCGGAUGUGAAAUCCCCAGGCUUAACCUGGGAACUGCAUCCGAUACUGGUCGGCUUGAAUCCGGGAGAGGGAUGCGGAAUUCCAGGUGUAGCGGUGAAAUGCGUAGAGAUCUGGAGGAACACCGAUGGCGAAGGCAGCCCCCUGGGCUAACACUGACGCUCAUGCACGAAAGCGUGGGGAGCAAACAGG
rnacentral:rRNA from 1 species